GAGGGGCCCCUCUCGGGUUACCGAAUUCAGACAAACUCCGAAUGCCAAUUAAUUUAACUUGGGAGUCAGAACAUGGGUGAUAAGGUCCGUGUUCGAAAGGGAAACAGCCCAGACCACCAGCUAAGGUCCCAAAAUAUAUGUUAAGUGGAAAAGGAUGUGGCGUUGCCCAGACAACUAGGAUGUUGGCUUAGAAGCAGCCAUCAUUUAAAGAGUGCGUAAUAGCUCACUAGUCGAGUGACACUGCGCCGAAAAUGUACCGGGGCUAAACAUAUUACCGAAGCUGUGGAUUGUCCUUUGGACAAUGGUAGGAGAGCGUUCUAAGGGCGUUGAAGCAUGAUCGUAAGGACAUGUGGAGCGCUUAGAAGUGAGAAUGCCGGUGUGAGUAGCGAAAGACGGGUGAGAAUCCCGUCCACCGAUUGACUAAGGUUUCCAGAGGAAGGCUCGUCCGCUCUGGGUUAGUCGGGUCCUAAGCUGAGGCCGACAGGCGUAGGCGAUGGAUAACAGGUUGAUAUUCCUGUACCACCUAUAAUCGUUUUAAUCGAUGGGGGGACGCAGUAGGAUAGGCGAAGCGUGCGAUUGGAUUGCACGUCUAAGCAGUAAGGCUGAGUAUUAGGCAAAUCCGGUACUCAUUAAGGCUGAGCUGUGAUGGGGAGAAGACAUUGUGUCUUCGAGUCGUUGAUUUCACACUGCCGAGAAAAGCCUCUAGAUAGAAAAUAGGUGCCCGUACCGCAAACCGACACAGGUAGUCAAGAUGAGAAUUCUAAGGUGAGCGAGCGAACUCUCGUUAAGGAACUCGGCAAAAUGACCCCGUAACUUCGGGAGAAGGGGUGCUCUUUAGGGUUAACGCCCAGAAGAGCCGCAGUGAAUAGGCCCAAGCGACUGUUUAUCAAAAACACAGGUCUCUGCUAAACCGUAAGGUGAUGUAUAGGGGCUGACGCCUGCCCGGUGCUGGAAGGUUAAGAGGAGUGGUUAGCUUCUGCGAAGCUACGAAUCGAAGCCCCAGUAAACGGCGGCCGUAACUAUAACGGUCCUAAGGUAGCGAAAUUCCUUGUCGGGUAAGUUCCGACCCGCACGAAAGGCGUAACGAUUUGGGCACUGUCUCAACGAGAGACUCGGUGAAAUCAUAGUACCUGUGAAGAUGCAGGUUACCCGCGACAGGACGGAAAGACCCCGUGGAGCUUUACUGUAGCCUGAUAUUGAAAUUCGGCACAGCUUGUACAGGAUAGGUAGGAGCCUUUGAAACGUGAGCGCUAGCUUACGUGGAGGCGCUGGUGGGAUACUACCCUAGCUGUGUUGGCUUUCUAACCCGCACCACUUAUCGUGGUGGGAGACAGUGUCAGGCGGGCAGUUUGACUGGGGCGGUCGCCUCCUAAAAGGUAACGGAGGCGCUCAAAGGUUCCCUCAGAAUGGUUGGAAAUCAUUCAUAGAGUGUAAAGGCAUAAGGGAGCUUGACUGCGAGACCUACAAGUCGAGCAGGGUCGAAAGACGGACUUAGUGAUCCGGUGGUUCCGCAUGGAAGGGCCAUCGCUCAACGGAUAAAAGCUACCCCGGGGAUAACAGGCUUAUCUCCCCCAAGAGUUCACAUCGACGGGGAGGUUUGGCACCUCGAUGUCGGCUCAUCGCAUCCUGGGGCUGUAGUCGGUCCCAAGGGUUGGGCUGUUCGCCCAUUAAAGCGGUACGCGAGCUGGGUUCAGAACGUCGUGAGACAGUUCGGUCCCUAUCCGUCGUGGGCGUAGGAAAUUUGAGAGGAGCUGUCCUUAGUACGAGAGGACCGGGAUGGACAUACCUCUGGUGUACCAGUUGUCGUGCCAACGGCAUAGCUGGGUAGCUAUGUGUGGACGGGAUAAGUGCUGAAAGCAUCUAAGCAUGAAGCCCCCCUCAAGAUGAGAUUUCCCAACUUCGGUUAUAAGAUCCCUCAAAGAUGAUGAGGUUAAUAGGUUCGAGGUGGAAGCAUGGUGACAUGUGGAGCUGACGAAUACUAAUCGAUCGAAGACUUAAUCAA
rnacentral:rRNA from 1 species